rnacentral:rRNA from 1 species
CCUACGGGUGGCUGCAGUAGGGAAUUUUCGUCAAUGGGCGCAAGCCUGAACGAGCGAUGCCGCGUGAGUGAAGAAGGCCUUCGGGUCGUAAAGCUCUGUUGCGGGGGAAAAAAGGCAGCAUCAGGAAAUGGGUGCUGACUGAUGGUGCCCCGCCAGAAAGUCACGGCUAACUACGUGCCAGCAGCCGCGGUAAUACGUAGGUGGCGAGCGUUAUCCGGAAUGAUUGGGCGUAAAGGGUGCGCAGGCGGUCCUGCAAGUCUGGAGUGAAACGCAUGAGCUCAACUCAUGCAUGGCUUUGGAAACUGGAGGACUGGAGAGCAGGAGAGGGCGGUGGAACUCCAUGUGUAGCGGUAAAAUGCGUAGAUAUAUGGAAGAACACUCGUGGCGAAGGCGGGUUCCUGGACAUUAACUGACGCUGAGGCACGAAGGCCAGGGGAGCGAAAGGGAUUAGAUACCCCAGUAGUC